rnacentral:tRNA from 3 species
GCCACUAUGGCCGAGUGGUUAAGGCGUCUGAUUCAAGCUCGAGAGAGGCUCGCGUUCGAAUCGCGAUGGUGGCA